AGAUCUUGGUGGUAGUAGCAAGUAUUCAAUAAGAGAACAUUGAAGGCCGAAGUGGGGAAGGGUUCCAUGUGAACAGCACUUGGACAUGGGUUAGCCGAUCAAAAAUACAUCAAAAAGUAAUUCUAGAGCUAAUACAUGCGUCAAGGCCCGACUUCGGAAGGGCUGCGUUUAUUAGAUACAGAACCAACCUAGGCUCCGCCUAGUCCUUGUUGGUGAUUCAUAAUAACCCGGCGAAUCGCACGGCUUGUCCGGCGAUGGACCAUUCAAGUUUCUGACCUAUCAGCUAUGGACGGUAGGGUAUUGGCCUACCGUGGCGUUGACGGGUAACGGGGAAUUAGGGUUCGAUUCCGGAGAGGGAGCCUGAGAAACGGCUACCACAUCUAAGGAAGGCAGCAGGCGCGCAAAUUACCCAAUCCUGAUACAGGGAGGUAGUGACAAGAAAUAACAAUACAGGGCAAUUCUGUCUUGUAAUUGGAAUGAGUAGAUUUUAAAUCUCUUUACGAGUAUCAAUUGGAGGGCAAGUCUGGUGCCAGCAGCCGCGGUAAUUCCAGCUCCAAUAGCGUAUAUUAAAGUUGUUGCGGUUAAAAAGCUCGUAGUUGGAUUUCUGCCUUGGGCGACCGAUCCACCUUUCCUACGGGAUUGGUCGGUAUCAGGUU
rnacentral:ncRNA from 1 species